rnacentral:rRNA from 1 species
GACGAACGCUGGCGGCGUGCUUAACACAUGCAAGUCGAACGGCAAGGCCCUGCUUUUGUGGGGUGCUCGUGUGGCGAACGGGUGAGUAACAAGUGAGUAACCUGCCCUUGACUUUGGGGUAACUUCAGGAAACUGGGGCUAAUACCGGAUAGGAGCUCCUGCUGCAUGGUGGGGGUUGGAAAGUUUCGGCGGUUGGGGAUGGACUCGCGGCUCAUCAGCUUGUUGGUGGGGUAGUGGAUUACCAAGGGUUUGACGGGUAGCCGGCCUGAGAGGUUGACCGGCGACAUUGGUACUGAGGGACGGACCAGUCGGCUACGGGAGGCAGUGGGGGAGAUUAUUGCGCAAUGGGCCGACGCCUGAUGCAGCGACGUCGCGUGCGGGAUGACGGCUUUCGGGGUGUAAACCGCUUUCGCCGGAGACGAAGCGGGAUUGACGGUAACGGAUAAAGAAGCACCGGCUAACUACGUG